GGGGGUGAAAAGGUUUCGACGGUGGAUGAGUGAGUGAUUGUCGCAGGUCGGAGUUGGUCGGCAGGCUCCGUUACAAAGCUGACCAAAUUGAUAACUGCUAACACUGAGUUAGCACUCGCAGCCUAAACCGCUGCGGCGUUCUGCCCAAGAUGCCCGGUAUUGGGGCCAGAACGUCAUCACCGGGAUCGGUUGUUAAGGCGCGUCUCGUCUUUACCAACUUAAACACAACGAGGCUGGCAGAACUGCGGUUCUGUCUAGUGACAACGGUUCUGCGAGAUCAAGACUAGGCUAAACCUGUAGUGGCACCACAAUCUCUUCAUCGGACGCGGGUUCGACUCCCGCCACCUCCACCA
rnacentral:tmRNA from 1 species